ACGGAGCACCUAAAGCAAGAGUGUCAAACUCAAUUCCACAAAGGGCCACGCUGGAAAACAAGAACCACAUCCAGGGCCAGACACGUUGAGGUUUUUCACUUGCUAUUAUUUCAUUGUAAAGGUCAAGCAUCUUUUAUUAUACUAUUGUAUGUAUCAUGUCAUCUUCUCACUAACAGCUUGGUCAACAUAAAGACCAAAAAAAAG